GAUGAACGCUGGCGGCGUGCCUAAUACAUGCAAGUCGAGCGAACGGACGAGAAGCUUGCUUCUCUGAUGUUAGCGGCGGACGGGUGAGUAACACGUGGAUAACCUACCUAUAAGACUGGGAUAACUUCGGGAAACCGGAGCUAAUACCGGAUAAUAUUUUGAACCGCAUGGUUCAAAAGUGAAAGACGGUCUUGCUGUCACUUAUAGAUGGAUCCGCGCUGCAUUAGCUAGUUGGUAAGGUAACGGCUUACCAAGGCAACGAUGCAUAGCCGACCUGAGAGGGUGAUGGGCCACACUGGAACGGAGACACGGUCCAGACUCCUACGGGAGGCAGCAGUAGGGAAUCUUCCGCAAUGGGCGAAAGCCUGACGGAGCAACGCCGCGUGAGUGAUGAAGGUCUUCGGAUCGUAAAACUCUGUUAUUAGGGAAGAACAUAUGUGUAAGUAACUGUGCACAUCUUGACGGUACCUAAUCAGAAAGCCACGGCUAACUACGUG
rnacentral:rRNA from 1 species